rnacentral:rRNA from 1 species
UGGCCGGUACAAAGGGCUGCGAUGCCGUAAGGUUAAGCGAAUCCUUUUAAAGCCGGUCUCAGUUCGGAUUGGGGUCUGCAACUCGACCCCAUGAAGUCGGAGUCGCUAGUAAUCGCAGAUCAGCAACGCUGCGGUGAAUACGUUCCCGGGCCUUGUACACACCGCCCGUCGCGUCAUGAAAGUCGGUAACACCCGAAGCCAGUGGCCUAACCCUUUUGGGAGGGAGCUGUCGAAGGUGGGAUCGGCGAUUGGGACGAAGUCGUAACAAGGUAGCCGUACCGGAAGGUGCG